GAGUUUGAUCCUGGCUCAGGACGAACGCUGGCGGCGUGCCUAAUACAUGCAAGUCGAGCGGACUUUUCGGGAGCUUGCUUCCGGAAAGUCAGCGGCGAACGGGUGAGUAACACGUGGGUAACCUGCCUGCAAGACCGGGAUAACUUCGGGAAACCGGAGCUAAUACCGGAUGAUCUCCUUUUCCGCAUGGAGAAGGACUGAAAGGACGGCGCAAGCUGUCGCUUGCAGAUGGGCCCGCGGCGCAUUAGCUAGUUGGUGAGGUAACGGCUCACCAAGGCGACGAUGCGUAGCCGACCUGAGAGGGUGAUCGGCCACACUGGGACUGAGACACGGCCCAGACUCCUACGGGAGGCAGCAGUAGGGAAUCUUCCGCAAUGGACGAAAGUCUGACGGAGCAACGCCGCGUGAGCGAUGAAGGCCUUCGGGUCGUAAAGCUCUGUUGUCAGGGAAGAACAAGUGCGGGAGUAACUGCCCGCACCUUGACGGUACCUGACCAGAAAGCCACGGCUAACUACGUGCCAGCAGCCGCG
rnacentral:rRNA from 1 species